UAUUGGACAAUGGGGGAAACCCUGAUCCAGCCAUGCCGCGUGUGUGAAGAAGGCCUUAUGGUUGUAAAGCACUUUAAGCGAGGAGGAGGCUACUCUAGUUAAUACCUAGGGAUAGUGGACGUUACUCGCAGAAUAAGCACCGGCUAACUCUGUGCCAGCAGCCGCGGUAAUACAGAGGGUGCGAGCGUUAAUCGGAUUUACUGGGCGUAAAGCGUGCGUAGGCGGCUUGUUAAGUCGGAUGUGAAAUCCCCGUGCUUAACUUGGGAAUUGCAUUCGAUACUGGUGAGCUAGAGUAUGGGAGAGGAUGGUAGAAUUCCAGGUGUAGCGGUGAAAUGCGUAGAGAUCUGGAGGAAUACCGAUGGCGAAGGCAGCCAUCUGGCCUAAUACUGACGCUGAGGUACGAAAGCAUUGGGAGCAAACAGG
rnacentral:rRNA from 1 species